UGGGAAUACACACCCUCUGCUUCAACAGUGUGCUAAGAGGCACCUUCUGAAGCUUCCUAAGGGACUCCAGGCAUGGGUGAUGGCUCGUGUUCGGAAUUCUUGCAUUCAUGCGUUUGAGGUAGAAGGAGCACAUGUUUAAGACCAUCCUAGAUUGUAUAGGGAGACCCUGAUUAAAAAUCAAUCAAUCAAUCAAUCAAUCACCACCACCACCACC
rnacentral:lncRNA from 1 species